rnacentral:rRNA from 1 species
CGGUGUUUAACUGGCGUGAUGUGGGACGUCCUACCGGUGGGCUUAGCCUCGCGAGGGGCGGCCCAACUAAUAUCCCGUCGCGGUGCUCUUUACUGAGUGUCGAGUCGGGCCGGUACGUUUACUUUGAACAAAUUAGAGUGCUUAAAGCAGGCUAUCCUCGCCUGAAUACUGCGUGCAUGGAAUAAUGGAAUAGGACCUCGGUUCUAUUUUGUUGGUUUUCGGAACCCCGAGGUAAUGAUUAAUAGGGACAGAUGGGGGCAUUCGUAUUGCGACGUUAGAGGUGAAAUUCUUGGAUCGUCGCAAGACGGACAGAAGCGAAAGCAUUUGCCAAAAAUGUUUUCAUUAAUCAAGAACGAAAGUUAGAGGUUCGAAGGCGAUCAGAUACCGCCCUAGUUCUAACCAUAAACGAUGCCAGCUAGCGAUCCGCCGAAGUUCCUCCGAUGACUCAGCGGGCAGCUUCCGGGAAACCAAAGCUUUUGGGUUCCGGGGGAAGUAUGGUUGCAAAGCUGAAACUUAAAGGAAUUGACGGAAGGGCACCACCAGGAGUGGAGCCUGCGGCUUAAUUUGACUCAACACGGGAAACCUCACCAGGCCCAGACACCGGAAGGAUUGACAGAUUGAUAGCUCUUUCUUGAUUCGGUGGGUGGUGGUGCAUGGCCGUUCUUAGUUGGUGGAGCGAUUUGUCUGGUUAAUUCCGAUAACGAACGAGACUCUAGCCUGCUAAAUAGGCGUACCUUAUGGUAUCGCGAAGGCCCCCGGCUUCGGCCGGUGGGUUUUUACUACCAACGUACAAACAAAUCUUCUUAGAGGGACAGGCGG